CCGCGAAAAAUCGUCGCCGCUUAUCUCCGCUCGCUGCUCGGGCGCCCGUAUCGCGCAUGCUAGUCUAUAUAUGCUCUGACAGACGAGGCAACGAGUUCAAAUUUUGUGGGACGUAUUAGUACGCCGAAACGGAGCGAAAGCGGGAAGGAAGGAGCCUUCGAGGGAAGCGAUAUGCAGGAGAAUCCGCAUCAGAGGAAGAAAUGGACGCAUCACACUUGUCGUGCCUCUCCGUCGCCAUCGAGCAUCCGCCAAGUACUUUCGACCACCCAUGUACAAAAGAGUGGACACUCAGGACGAGGAUAUAGCGGGCGAAAGUGCGGCCACUUCCUAGUCACGGCAAGAGUGAGGGCAACCCCGACCCGGAUCCUCCGAAGCGCAACCUCCUCUGCACGGAUCAGGAGCUAUUGUCACGCCUCCCACAACCUGUCGAUGAAGCUAUACAGUCCAGAGGGCCAGACCACGCAUAUCUCAGAGAGGGAGUAUAGAAUGCAGCUACACAGCGGUCUUCGUCUACUUUGACAGAACCAUCUUUGUUUACUUGGAGGUGAUUCGGAUCGGGUUCUUCUCGUUGCUGUCGGAUUGCCUUGGCUCGGGCGACUCUAACGGCUGGAUUGGUGCUCCGAUGGUGAGCCCUUUCACGGGCAAGUUCUCGCCGCCGCUCGUCGAAUGCUGCCCGUUCCGCGGGGAAACACACAAUGCCUGACCGUCUCAUCCAUUUUCCGAGACUGAACUGAACAGAAACAGAGCCGACGCAGCACAUGCGAUACCCUUUUCUGCCUUUUUACUCCCCGGCUGACGCGAAACGGCUCUGAUUGGUAGCGCGCGUGGCGUAAGCGCGCGCCUAUGCACCUGGAAACCUUGCUAAUAACUCACGCUCCGGGGCAGUUGUCAACUCCAAACCGACCCUUCUCUAGUAGGAUGUUCUUGAGCUCUAGUUGGUUCAUGCUUUACGGAAGGUUAAACCUGCGCGAACAAAACAAGGACAAGC